rnacentral:rRNA from 1 species
AACAGGAUUAGAUACCCUGGUAGUCCACGCCGUAAACGAUGUCUACUAGCUGUUCGUGGUCUUGUACUGUGAGUAGCGCAGCUAACGCACUAAGUAGACCGCCUGGGGAGUACGGUCGCAAGAUUAAAACUCAAAUGAAUUGACGGGGGCCCGCACAAGCGGUGGAGCAUGUGGUUUAAUUCGACGCAACGCGAAGAACCUUACCUACUCUUGACAUCUAGCGAAGACUGCAGAGAUGCGGUUGUGCCUUCGGGAACGCUAAGACAGGUGCUGCAUGGCUGUCGUCAGCUCGUGUUGUGAAAUGUUGGGUUAAGUCCCGCAACGAGCGCGACCCUUAUCCUUAGUUGCCAGCACGUAAUGGUGGGAACUCCAGGGAGACUGCCGGUGAUAAACCGGAGGAAGGUGGGGACGACGUCAAGUCAUCAUGGCCCUUACGAGUAGGGCUACACACGUGCUACAAUGGUAUGUACAGAGGGAGGCAAGCUGGCGACAGUGAGCGGAUCUCUUAAAGCAUAUCGUAGUCCGGAUCGUAGUCUGCAACUCGACUGCGUGAAGUCGGAAUCGCUAGUAAUCGCAAAUCAGAAUGUUGCGGUGAAUACGUUCCCGGGCCUUGUACACACCGCCCGUCACACCAUGGGAGUGGGUUGCAAAAGAAGUAGGUAGCUUAACCUUCGGGAGGGCGCUUACCACUUUGUGAUUCAUGACUGGGGUGAAGUCGUAACAAGGUAACC